GCCACAUAAGACUUUGUCCAUCCAGGGUUACAGUGAACGACAACUUUAAACUAAAGAACCCCCUGAAUGAUGUAGGCUAUGGGGCCACAUAAGACUUUGUGCAUCCAGGGUUACGUUGAACGACAAAUUUAAACUAAAAAGCUACCAGACUGGGAUUUUAGUGUACUCCAGGAUCUAACAAAUAUACUACUACGAAGUGUACAGUGCAUAAUAUAGUGUUUAGUGUAUAAUCUAACCUAAGGAUUAAGUGUAGUACAUUGUGCUUUAUAGUGUCACAAGAGUUUAAUAAAGAAUUAUACCUUCAAGAACCAUCCUUUGCCAUUGAAAUAACCACACUACACAUCAUGCAAUAUACUUGCAUGUCACACAGGUAAGGUC